rnacentral:tRNA from 1 species
CGGGGUGUAGCUCAGCCUGGCUAGAGCGCUGCCUUUGGGAGGCAGAAGUCCCCAGUUCGAAUCUGGGCACCCCGA